UAGGGAAUAUUGCACAAUGGGCGAAAGCCUGAUGCAGCAACGCCGCGUGCGCGAUGAAGGCCUUCGGGUUGUAAAGCGCUUUUCGGGGAGACGAGGAAGGACGGUAUCCCCGGAAUAAGGAUCGGCUAACUACGUGCCAGCAGCCGCGGUAAAACGUAGGAUCCGAGCGUCAUCCGAAUUCACUGGGCGUAAAGCGCGAGCAGGCGGUACGAUAAGUUGGGUGUAAAAUCUCCUGGCUCAACUGGGAGAGGACGUUCAAUACUGUCGAACUAGAGGGCGGUAGAGGGAGGUGGAAUUCCCGGUGUAGUGGUGAAAUGCGUAGAUAUCGGGAGGAACACCAGUGGCGAAAGCGGCCUCCUGGACCGUGCCUGA
rnacentral:rRNA from 1 species